UGCCAAAGGUUCGAGGGCCCCCGCAAGGGGAGUGGCAGACGGGUGAGUAACACGUGGGAACGCCGCCCUAAGGUUUGGAAUAUUCCCGGGAAACUGGGAGCAAUACCAAAUGUGACCGCAAGGUGAAAGAUUUAUCGCCUUAGGAUCGGCCCGCGUCGGAUUAGCUAGUUGGUGGGGUAAAAGCCUACCAAGGCGACGAUCCGUAGCUGGUCUGAGAGGACGACCAGCCACACUGGGACUGAGACACGGCCCAGACUCCUACGGGAGGCAGCAGUGGGGAAUCUUGGACAAUGGGCGCAAGCCUGAUCCAGCCAUGCCGCGUGGAUGAUGAAGGCCCUAGGGUUGUAAAAUCCUUUCGUUGGGGACGAUAAUGACGGUACCCAAAGAAGAAGCUCCGGCUAACUUCGUGCCAGCAGCCGCGGUAAUA
rnacentral:rRNA from 1 species